ACCCGGAUGACGAGUCCCAAAUAAGAUGAAAUGUGCAUCCUGGAU
rnacentral:hammerhead_ribozyme from 1 species